UUUUAUCGAAAUCUUUAUAUCGAGGAUGAACCUGUCUGCACCUUUUGCUUAUCAAGUUGUUUUUCUCCUUUUGAUAAUCCUUAACUCUUAAUGCUUAGAGCAUUGGUUACAUAUGAAGAUAUUUGGCGUGCCAUAUACAACAUCAGGGGUUAUAAGGCAUCAGGUAAGGAUGGUAUCCAUACCCUUUUUCUAUCAGAAUCAAUAGAACCUGGUAGGAGCUAAACUGUGUGAUGUAGUGAAAGUGGUUUUUUGUAA
rnacentral:lncRNA from 1 species